rnacentral:rRNA from 1 species
CACGUAGGGCGCAAGCGUUGUCCGGAAUUAUUGGGCGUAAAGAGCUCGUAGGCGGUCUGUUGCGUCCGCUGUGAAAACUCGGGGCUUAACCCCGAGCCUGCAGUGGAUACGGGCAGACUAGAGGUAGGUAGGGGGAGAAUGGAAUUCCCGGUGUAGCGGUGAAAAUGCGCAGAUAUCGGGAGGAACACCAGAGGCGAAGGCGGCCACCUGGACAGACACUGACGCUGAGACGCGAAAAGCGUGGGGGAGCAAACAGGGAU